AGGCAUCAAUAACUGUGGUAAUUAUACUAAUAGUAGUAAUUUGCUAAAUAAUACACCCUUUGAAAAAUAUGUAAUUAACAAUUUAUCAAACCAUCCAAGGUAAAUGGUAAAAGUCUAAUGGAAUUACUAAUUAACUGUCUUGAACUCAUGGAUUACACAAAACUUUUAAGUCUAUUGGAAAACAUCAAAAACUAACAAGUAAAUAAAGACUCCUACAUUACUUACUCAGAACCUAAAAGUAAAAUUUAUAAGGUCGGUAUCAUAAUAAACAUCCGAAAAUAAGGAACACUAGACCAGAAAAUUAAACCAACAUUCUUCGAAUUGGUGUACCACUGUUGUAGGUAAGAAUUUGGAAAGGUAAGAUGUAGAGGGGAAUUUAAUGUUUUUAUGUAUCCAAUAAUUAAUCAUUGCUAAAGAAAAACUAUUUUGAGCAGAGUUUAGUUAUACAUGUUUUAAAAGGCCUGUUAGGUGGUCAGUCUAACAAUUUUAUCCUCAGAGCACCUAUUAAAUAAAUAUUACUUAUAGAACUAGCAAAAUUAUAAUUUUCUAUAAAUAGCACACCAACUCACAUAUAUAUAUAUCUAUAUAUUAUGGAUUACCAAUUGAUAUGUUGAGCUUAGGUUGCAUUCUUGUUGAGCUAUUUACUGGAUUUCUAUUAUUUCCAGGGAAAGAUGAAACUGAUCAAUUAGCUUGUAUUAUUGAACUUUUAGUUGUUCCCUCAGAUCAGAAUCUACAAUUGUAUGUACAAACAAAUGAAAAAAU
rnacentral:lncRNA from 1 species